CAGUCGCCGCGGGAAUACAGAGGGUGCGAGCGUUAAUCGGAUUUACUGGGCGUAAAGCGUGCGUAGGCGGCUAAUUGAGUCGGAUGUGAAAUCCCCGAGCUUAACUUGGGAAUCGCAUUCGAUACUGGUUAGCUAGAGUGUGGGAGAGGAUGGUAGAAUUCCAGGUGUAGCGGUGAAAUGCGUAGAGAUCUGGAGGAAUACCGAUGGCGAAGGCAGCCAUCUGGCCUAACACUGACGCUGAGGUACGAAAGCAUGGGGAGCAAACAGGAUUAGAUACCCCCGUAGUCCCUGUCUCUUAUAC
rnacentral:rRNA from 1 species